AAAGCUUUGUAAAUACUCAUUAUAUGAAAUAAAUUUAUUACGAUCUGUUCUUAUCAGCUUAAUAUCUGAUAUGUUAGGCAAUGCCUAACUCAUAUAUUAAACUGAUUUUUGGACUUCGGCCAUGGGAUUGAAGCUUGCUUCGCCCUGGCCACGGGUUGUCUCGGUAUUGCACUACAUCCGAGUACGGCCCCUUCCCC
rnacentral:snRNA from 1 species